rnacentral:rRNA from 1 species
GACGAACGCUGGCGGCGUGCCUCAAACAUGCAAGUCGAGCGGGGAACUUUUAAAGCGCAAGCUUUUAUAAGUUCCUAGCGGCGAACGGGUGAGUAACACGUGGGCAACCUACCCAGAAGACCGGGAUAACGGCUCGAAAGGGCCGCUAAUACCGGAUAAUGUCGGGGUACCGCAUGGUACUCCGAAGAAAGGGGAAACCCGCUUUUGGAUGGGCCCGCGUCCCAUCAGCUAGUUGGUGAGGUAACGGCUCACCAAGGCGACGACGGGUAGCCGGUCUGAGAGGAUGGUCGGCCACACUGGGACUGAGACACGGCCCAGACUCCUACGGGAGGCAGCAGUUGGGAAUCUUGGGCAAUGGGCGAAAGCCUGACCCAGCGACGCCGCGUGAGGGAAGAAGGCCUUCGGGUCGUAAACCUCUGUCAUGGGGGAAGAAGCAAGUGACGGUACCCAAGAGGAAGCCCCUGCUAACUACGUG